rnacentral:misc_RNA from 1 species
AAUGUCGUAACAAGGUUUCCGUAGGUGAACCUGCGGAAGGAUCAUUAGUUGAAUUAAAGCAAGGGCAACGUUUCAAUUUUUGAAAUCUUGAAAGGUCCGAACUCUCACAUUCUAACCCUGUGCAUUUUCGUUUUUAGGGUUAGUAGAGCGCUUUGCGUUUCCGAAACACCUCUUCCAAUUUUUGACAAAAGCACUAAGUCAAAGGUAUGUUUAAACUUUAUACAAAAGCAAAAG